GAGACCCGUGCCCACUGUUACCAGCAUGUCCUCCGGGAUGAUGGGUACUCUGUGGGGACCGCCGGUGUUAAAUCGGAGGAAGGUGCGGGCCACGGUAGGUCAGUAUGCCCCGAAUUUCCCGGGCUACACGCGGGCUACAAUGAAUGGGACAAUGGGUCCCUCCCCUGAAAAGGGCUGGUAAUCUCACAAACCCAUCCUUAGUUCGGAUCGAGGGCUGUAACUCGCCCUCGUGAAGCUGGAAUCCGUAGUAAUCGCGUUUCAAUAUAGCGCGGUGAAUAC
rnacentral:rRNA from 1 species